AGCAGCCGCGGUAAUUCCAGCUCCAAUAGCGUAUAUUAAAGUUGUUGCAGUUAAAAAGCUCGUAGUUGAAUUUCGAGAUCAAAUUGUUGGUCGUGCCUCGGUACGUACUGGCAUUAUUGAUUUCUCCCUUCUGAAGAACCUUGAUGUCAUUAAUUUGGUGUCUUGGGGAAUCAGGACCGUUACUUUGAAAAAAUUAGAGUGUUUAAAGCAGGCUCGCGCUUGAAUACAUUAGCAUGGAAUAAUGAAAUAGGACGUUUGAUUCUAUUUUGUUGGUUUCUAGGAUCGACGUAAUGAUUAAUAGGGAUAGUUGGGGGCAUUAGUAUUCAAUUGUCAGAGGUGAAAUUCUUGGAUUUAUUGAAGACUAACUACUGCGAAAGCAUUUGCCAAGGAUGUUUUCAUUAAUCAAGACGAAAGUUAGGGGAUCGGAAGACGAUCAGAUACCGUCGUAGUCUUAACCAUAAACUAUGCCGACUAGGGAUCGGAUGAUGUUAAUUUUUUAAUG
rnacentral:rRNA from 1 species